GGUAACUAAGGCUGGGAAUGUCAAACCACCGCGAUGCGCUGCACUACAAGUCACAAGCGAGCAUAAAUGAGUCAACAGUUGAGUCAUCUACUUUAUGAAAUUACAGCCUGAUGCGCGCACGUCGGUGAAUUCAAUUUCAGUUGCUCUGCUUUCUUGUGUCCCGUUUACAGCGCACAGCGACAGAGAUCCUGAGGACAAACAUCCUUCUGCAUCAAGACAGACUAUAUCCCACUACCUAAACUUGCGGUCAGCCUACAGCUAAUUCAUCCCUGCAACAGACUGAGCUGACCACCAUGCACUCUGAGGAUGGAUCUACGGUCGACGACAUCUUCUACUCCAAGGCUGGGCAAUUCUGGUGGAGGUCAACGGCAGAGCGGAGGUUUGAAGCUGCUUGGUCGUCUCUCCCCCCAAUUAGAGGAGGAUCUCUGGUCAAUGAAAGGUUUACCCAAUUAAUUGUUCCCUUCGGACCAUCUCAGUCUCCUGGCCAGGUUCCAGCUGGACUGAAACCCUGUGUAAUUUGGGCUGUUUGUGAUCAAUUAAUAAUCAGGAGGACCGAGGUCAAGUAUUUAAAAAUGUUUGUUCAAACUGUACAUGAUUUUCCCAUGGUGUGAUUCCAUGUUUUAUAAGUUCAUAAUUGUACUUAAUUGGUUCCUUGGGCUCACAUGGUUGUUUCCUACCUGAAGAGAAACUACUCAUCCCAAGGUCCAGAGGGGAUGGGAUGUCCUCUGAAGAAUUGUUUUUGUUUACAUGAAGAGAGAGCAAAACAAACCAAAAAGGUUGAAUUUAGUUCAAAGUUGGAAUUUAUUUGACAAAUUCUCUUACUGUUGAGAUUUGAAUGCAUGAAGCUUUUAGAUUUUAAAAGUUAAUAUUUUGUGAACAAACUGAGUAAACAAUCUGCUACACUAGUAAAUUAGAACAUUUAAAUCUUUACAAACUGUGUUUGAUGCGUUUUGUCCCUCUGGCUUUGGGCCAGUCGUAGUAUUAUUUUUCAAAUGAUAGAAAUAUUGAAUUCAUAUUUUCCAUAUACCAAUAUCAGUUUGGCAGUAUUUUGGGAAGAUCUACAUCCUGUCUUGCCUGGCUGAGAUGGUGUUAAUCCGUGACAAGGACU
ensembl:lncRNA